GGCCUCGUAGCUCAGUUGGCAGAGCAUUGGACUAGUAUCCCAAAGGUCGCGGGUUCGAUUCCCACCAUGGUCA
rnacentral:tRNA from 1 species